ensembl:snoRNA
GGCAGAUGAUGUCUGUUCACGAUGGUCUUCAGAUGUCCCCAGGGGCACUGCUGAGACAGCCGCUUGGUAAAGCUGAUGCCAGAAG